rnacentral:rRNA from 1 species
CAGUUUUGGCGGAGCCAUCCUUGGGAUACCACCCUUGUAGUACUGGGACUCUAACCAUAGGCCAUGAAUCUGGUCUUGGGACACUGUCAGGUGGGCAGUUUGACUGGGGCGGUCGCCUCCCAAAAGGUAACGGAGGCGCCCAAAGGUUCUCUCAGUACGGUCGGAAAUCGUACGUAGAGUGUAAAGGCAAAAGAGAGCUUGAUUGCAAGACAUACAGGUCGAGCAA